AUGAACGCUAGCUACAGGCUUAACACAUGCAAGUCGAGGGGCAGCAUGAACUUAGCUUGCUAAGUUUGAUGGCGACCGGCGCACGGGUGAGUAACACGUAUCCAACCUGCCGAUGACUCGGGGAUAGCCUUUCGAAAGAAAGAUUAAUACCCGAUGGCAUAGUUCUUCCGCAUGGUAGAACUAUUAAAGAAUUUCGGUCAUCGAUGGGGAUGCGUUCCAUUAGGUUGUUGGCGGGGUAACGGCCCACCAAGCCUUCGAUGGAUAGGGGUUCUGAGAGGAAGGUCCCCCACAUUGGAACUGAGACACGGUCCAAACUCCUACGGGAGGCAGCAGUGAGGAAUAUUGGUCAAUGGACGAGAGUCUGAACCAGCCAAGUAGCGUGAAGGAUGACUGCCCUAUGGGUUGUAAACUUCUUUUAUACGGGAAUAAAGUGAGGCACGUGUGCCUUUUUGUAUGUACCGUAUGAAUAAGGAUCGGCUAACUCCGUGCCAGCAGCCGCGGUAAUACGGAGGAUCCGAGCGUUAUCCGGAUUUAUUGGGUUUAAAGGGAGCGUAGGCGGACGCUUAAGUCAGUUGUGAAAGUUUGCGGCUCAACCGUAAAAUUGCAGUUGAUACUGGGUGUCUUGAGUACAGUAGAGGCAGGCGGAAUUCGUGGUGUAGCGGUGAAAUGCUUAGAUAUCACGAAGAACUCCGAUUGCGAAGGCAGCUUGCUGGACUGUAACUGACGCUGAUGCUCGAAAGUGUGGGUAUCAAACAGGAUUAGAUACCCUGGUAGUCCACACAGUAAACGAUGAAUACUCGCUGUUUGCGAUAUACAGUAAGCGGCCAAGCGAAAGCGUUAAGUAUUCCACCUGGGGAGUACGCCGGCAACGGUGAAACUCAAAGGAAUUGACGGGGGCCCGCACAAGCGGUGGAGUAUGUGGUUUAAUUCGACGCAACGCGAAGAACCUUACCAAGUCUUGACAUCCUGCGACGAUGCUAGAAAUAGUAUUUUCCUUCGGGACGCAGAGACAGGUGGUGCAUGGUUGUCGUCAGCUCGUGUCGUGAGAUGUUGGGUUAAGUCCCGCAACGAGCGCAACCCUUAUGGUCAGUUACUACGCAAGAGGACUCUGGCCAGACUGCCGUUGACAAAACGGAGGAAGGUGGGGACGACGUCAAAUCAUCAUGCCCCUUAUGUCCUGGGCUACACACGUACUACAAUGGCGUUUAACAAAGAGAAGCAAGACCGCGAGGUGGAGCAAAACUCAAAAACAACGUCUCAGUUCAGAUUGCAGGCUGCAACUCGCCUGCAUGAAGUCGGAAUUGCUAGUAAUCGCGGAUCAGCAUGCCGCGGUGAAUACGUUCCCGGGCCUUGUACACACCGCCCGUCACACCAUGAGAGUCGGGAACACCCGAAGUCCGUAGUCUAACCGCAAGGGGGACGCGGCCGAAGGUGGGUUCGAUAAUUGGGGUG
rnacentral:rRNA from 1 species